rnacentral:lncRNA from 1 species
AACAUUAAGGGGCCUAAGUGCUCUGAACUAAAAGUAUACUCUACAAAUAUAAGUAUCUUCUAAAGUAUACAAGUAUACCCGACCGUCGAAAUCCAUAACUACAAGUAGAACAAAAUAUAAGUAAAUGGGUGUUGUACGCUGCGGUUAAACCUGGGCAGCUAUGUAGUCGUGUCUAGGAUUAAUAUAGUCUGGCCAACUAUAUUCAUUCGAGACACGGCCAACAUGUGCUUGGGAGUGACUGUGGUACGCAACAUACCUAAAACUUACCCAAUACCCCAAACAAUGAGCCGUCGUUGCAGCGAACCAUGAAAUACUAUGGGAGUAUUUCUCAAGCCGAUCCGUUGUAGAAGUCCUCAUUCAAGCGUUGUUCCUUGAUCAUUCCUUUUGCGAUAAAUUAUUUGCUUUGAUAACUCCCUCCUGUUUUAUCGCUUAAUAGAAUAUCUGUCUUAAUGAGAUAUCCCCUGUUCCGUAUCUCUUGAUUCAAUUCAGAGGACUUAUGAUCCUCUUUUUCCUGGUUAUUCUAGAUCAAGAUGCCUCCAAGGAAACGACCCAGCUUAAAGACCAACAACUCUCCACCGCCACCACCUCCUAUUCAAAUCGAUCUGGAAACACUUAAGGCAGCCAUUACUGCCGCAGUGUCAGCCACCCUGUCUCAAUUAAACCCCAGUGGUUCAAGGGGUGGUACCCAAACCCAAAACCCGGAAGGUAAUCAGGGACACCGGAAGGAGUGUUCCUAUAAAGACUUUAUGAAUGCAAAACCCACGUUCUUCGAUGGCACAGGGGGUGUCAAUGCUCUAACUCGGUGGUUGAAGAAAAUCGAAUCUAUCUUCGAGAUUUGUGCCUUUUCGGAAUCUGACAAGGUGAAAUUCGCCGCCUGUACGCUCACCGAUAAAGCUUUGACUUGGUGGAACGGCUUAGUCAAAUCCCUGACUCUACCUGUAGCCAAUGCUAUGGGAUGGGAAGUUAUGAAGGAACUUCUGCGCGGGGAGUAUUGCCCUCGGGGUGAAAUCCAAAAGCUGGAGCAUGAACUCUGGAACCUGAAGAUGAAAGGUUCCGAUAUCGCCGCUUACACUUCAAGGUUUGAUGACUUGGCACUUCUUUGUCCGAGGAUGGUUACCCCAGAAGGCAAAAAGGUAGAAAGGUUCAUCUGGGGAUUAACCCAGCCAACAAAAGGGAACGUUAUAGCGGUGAAGCCAGAUACCUAUGACAGCGCCAAAUGUCUAGCGCAAACCCUGAUUGAUCACAAUGAUGACCAAGAAGAAGCAGAAACCACUCCUGAGCCAACAGAAAAGAGUGGCGAGAAAAGGAAGUUUUGGAAAAAGAAGAAGAAGAGUCAGUCUUCCCCAGAACCCUCGAAGAAACAGCAGAUACUGGCAGUCCACGCUGCCACUACCCCUGUUGAUGUAUCUAUUGUAGGUUCCUCAGCCCAAGCACCUGUCACCGGAUAUGCCGGUAUCCUCCCGUGGUGUAACCGAUGUAGCUACCACCAUCACAUCCCUGGCCCUUGUCGUGCAAAGUUUUGUAAAAGUUGUGGCCAGGAAGGUCACCUCGCGCGAAGCUGCAGAACCCCAACCCAAUCAACUAGUCAAGCUUCUAGAGCUGGUAUCGGUCAAACCUGCUACAGUUGUGGAGAUGUCGGGCAUUAUAGACGAAACUGUCCUAAGGCAGUAAUAUCUGGCAACACCGGGAGUGUCUUAACUAUGGGACAUGAAAGGACAGCCGCUGACCCCACCGUUGCCACAUGUAUAUUGUUUCUCGAUGAAUCUUGUGCGCGUGAUCCUUUUCGAUUCUAAUGCUGAAAGAAAUUACUAACCAUUCAUUCAAAUAUCUUUCUAAACUAAAUCCUUCGUUAGUAAUCGAAAUCUGUACCGUCGAGAUGACCAACCAAUGAGAAAGAGAACAUUAACGUCAUACCCUUAGAUCGUAUCCUCAAUUCGGAUGAUUAUUCCUUUCCAUUCGAUCUAAUGGUAAAAUUUUCGUGAAAAGCUUUGAUGCGAUCCUUGGCAUGUAAUUACUAAGUCUCAUUCAUGCUGUUAUUCUUGUUUUUGAAAGGGUCGUCCAUCCGAACCUUUCUUCUGACCCGACUCUCAUGAUUCUCGGCAUCAAACCUAAACCCAACCUUCGCAUCUUCGUGUAUCAAAGCUUAGAAAGUUUCCCAUGCCUUCCUCGUCCGUGUGAUAAUCGGGAAAUGAGAUGUAUGCAACUCUUUCCUCGAUGCCUUUCCCGAAAAUUCUCGAGAAUUCCUUCCAAACGUCUAGUCAAGUCUCAUAUCGACCUAAUCCCUGGAAUUGCCUCGUAACCGAACCUCCGGAAGAAUGAUGUAUCCUAUACAGCGACCAGCACCUGGCAUGAUCACCACGAGUGCGUAGUGGUGCCCUUCGGUCAAACCAUUUUCCCUGGUUAUAUAGAUAAGCAAAACAGUCAUACCCGUGAACCUUCCAAAAGCUAAGACGAUAGAGAACUAGUCGGCACCAGAGAUACCUAUAGAAACCUGUAACUUAGUAACAUUAGACCCUUCGCGAUCCUCGUAGGAACGAUUCCGUAACCUUCAAACUUCGGCUACCCUCAGAACUUAGUAACAUCCAUAUGGUACUUCAUGUCUCGGUGUUUAAGAAGUAUCUACCCAACGAAUCGAAGACGCGUCUCGAUAUUGAGGGUUUGCUGGAACGUCAAGCGGAGACCCGAUGCCACUUGGGAGCGUGAAAACCUGGAGCAGCUGAUCCACCCGCAUCUCUUUUAAUUUCAUGAGCUGUUUGCAACCUUUGAAUUUCGGGACGAAAUUCCCUCUAACGGGGGGAUAAUGUAACAACCCGAAGUUGUCCGUCGCCGAAAUUCGUUCCGCGCGUAAAAAUCCGCCUUUAUCGAUUCGUCCCGUUUUCGUUUUUGGGCUAAGAUAUAUAAACUAUAAGUUUAUUUUAAUCUCGUAAGUGUUCAAAUCCAUUUAAAACUCAUGAAAAUGGCCCAAAAUCAUUAAUUUGAAAUUUCUAAAUUCUAUCCCGUCGAAUUACGGAAACUUAAUCGGGUGCGACCAAAAGCCCCGUUUAAUGCUGGUAGCAGGUAGAAUUCCUCCGUGUCCAAGUUUUGGGACCUAUUUAAUCGUGUUCAAGCUUUCAUUUGAAGCUUUUUCUUCCUCUCUCUACUCUCUCUCUAACCUCUCUCCUAAAUCCAAGUUUAAGGGUCAAAACCUCAAAUUUAAGGUUUCUAAUCACCAAGGUACCUUCCCUAACUUGUUAUACAACCCCUCUAGCCUUUAAAUUUAAGUUUAAAUCAUGGAUUAGGACCAUUAUUAUGAGUUUACAGCCCUAGAACAGUCCUAGGCCGUAAACUCAUAUAAAUGGGGUUUUUGGAGCAACAAAACCCUUCCAAACCGCAAUUGGACCUUAGAUAUGGCUAGAUGACUUUAUGGAAUGGACUUAGAAUGCCUUAAACCAUGAUUUAGAGCGUUGUUCAUGCGUUUAUGGCCCUGGAGCAUCCUUGGGCCGUAAACACAUAUAAAAGUGGUUUUUAAGCCCUUAAACCCUUCCAAAACAUCAAUAAGGCUUAGAUACGACUUGUAGAAUUAUGGAAUUGGCCUUGGAACACCUUGAACAUCAAUUUAGAGGAGUAAACUUGAGUUUACUGCCCAAGAACAUGCUUUGUCUGUAAACUCAUAUUCUUGGGGUGUAAACUCCUCUAAAUGUGUUAAGAUGCCACUUAAACACACCUUAAGCCUUGGGGUAAAUUCUAGAAGUGACCACAAACAAGAAUUGGACCGUAAAACAUAAUAAAACACCCAUUUAGGGAGUUCAUGGCCAUGAGGGGGUUCAUGGGCGGUAAACUCCUAAAGUCAUGCCAAAAGUCCCCAAAAAUUGAUACAUGGCUUGUAAAAUGAGUUUAAAUCACACGUGAUUGUCCUAGCAUCACCAAAACACAUAAGAAUUGGGUAUAGGGGAGUUUACGGCCGUAAAAUCCUAGUUUACUGCCGUAAACUCCAUUAAAUGGUCAAUGUGUAUGUUUAAUCCACUCCUAUGCCCUAGAUUUGAUCCUAGAAAAUUUUCCCAAUUCAUAUGAAGCCAUUUAGCAACCAAAAGUACCCCUCCAUGAGUUUACGGCCGUAAACUCAUGGGGAAUAUGUCAUUAGGGCCGAAAACUCAUGUAUGCGUUUACUCUUGAAGAGUAAACUCAAUAUCCUAGCUAUAUGUGUCCCCAAACGUCACCCGGGUCCUUCCAAACACUUGUAAUGGGGUGUUUCCGCAACUAGAAGAAUACGUCCUUAGCAAAUAAAUUAAUUAAGUCCUAAUUAGAUACAAAUCUGUAUCAUUUCAUAAUCCAUAGGAAUCUUGUGCGUUCGCGAACCCAGAACUGACGUUUAGGAUCCAAACUGACGCGUUUCUCAACCGGUGAGUUCAUACCCCUACCCUUUUUUCAAAUGUUUUUCAAAUGUUUUCAGGGGGAAGGGGGGAAUACAAGCAAAAGUAAAAGGAAAUCUUGUACUUAAACGUAUUUUCAGUCCAAAUGUUUUAUUUCAUGUAUGUUUCUAAUAUCGAAAAUCGUGAUAACUAAUGAUUCGAAUUGCAGGGUAUACUGUCAGACUAAAGUGAGAUUUCUAUAAAAGUGUUUUGAAUUAUAUUACAUUUUUGCAAAAGAAAUCAUAUUUAACAUAAACUAAGAUUAGUACGAAUACGAAUACGAAUACGAAUACGAGUAUAACCAAUAGUAUAGUACGAACACGAGUACGAAUACGAAUACGAAUGUAACCAAUAGUAUAGUACGAAUACGAGUACGAAUACGAAUACGAAUAUAACCAAUAGGAUAGUACAAAUACGAAUACGAAUACGAAUAUAACCAAUAGUAUAGUACGAAUACGAGUACGAAUACGAAUACGAAUAUAACUAUUAGGUUAGUACGAAUACGAAUGCGAAUACGAAUAUAACUAAUAGAAUAGAACGAAUACGAAUACGAAUAGAAAUAGGACUACGAAUGCGAAAUAACGCCUUGGGAUGACACCAAGACUUCGAAUAUACAGUUAAUGUACGCCUUGAAUGUCACCAAAGUUUCGAAUUUAAUACGAAAGUAUGCUUCUGGACCUCUACUGAUUUUCGAAUACAUCCGCCUUAGAAUGUUGCCAGAGAUAUGAAAAUACAACUAAUGUACUCUUUUGGAAAUCAUCAGAAUAAUCGAAAAUACUGUAAUGUACGUUUCUUGUGAAUCCAAAUAUUCGAAAAUACAACUAAGUUAGUAGAUGAUAGACAUUCGAAUGUAGGAUAACUAAGAGUUUAGAAUACUUAACUAACAUUACAAGUAUNCUGUGACAUCCCCAUUUUCACGGCCAGAAAAGACCGAUUUUGUUUAUGCUUUAUAAAAAUCAGAGUACUUCAUUUUAUAAAAAUGUUGCGGAAUUUGUUCCCAGAAAAACAUGGUAAAUACGUUAUUAAAACAUUUUCGAUGAAACGUAUUUAUUUCAUUUUAAAACGUUUGGGAUGUCAUCGUUAAUACAGAAACAUAAGCAUAAACAGAACUUACAAUUAUUUACACUAGUGAUCUACAUCUCUUUAAAUCUCUCAGUGUAUUGUGACUUCAUAUCAACACCUGUGAUAAAAAUAAACUGAGUGGGUCAGGUUGGGAAACCUGGUGAGCACAUAGGGUUUUCAACCCACAAUAAUAUAAUUAUUAUUUUUAAACAUCAAACAAUCAACCCAAUUACCCAUUCCCGUUAUCCUCACAUUACGUCCCUAAAACAUCUAACACAAGGGACCUAGUCAAAGGACUAUCAUUGGGAUGGAGUAUAUCUGGUGAGCACACAGUUCACACAGUUCGAAUAAACACACAGUUCGAAUAAACACACAGUUCGGUUAAACACAAAGUUCGAAUAAACACCUACAGGUUGCGAGCCUGUUAGUGUUCCACUGGACUGUCUAGAAUAGUCCGUGGUCGUCAUCUAUACUCCGCUAGAUGACUAGAUCAUCAAGAACAUCUAUAACGAGGCAUCUCAUUAUUUCAUUUUAUCACACAGCAACUAAUACAUCUACCCAUGUUUUACCCAACACAUUUUGUAGAUAUAAAAUACAUAUACAGUUUAAAUCAUUGAAAACAUGUAUAAAACGUUCAUCCAGCAUAGAUAGCAAGUAUACAGAUAAUAUACACACACAGCACGUAAUUUAUAUAAAAUACUUCAUAUCUAUGUGUAAGCUGAAAGUAACUAUGCACUCACCUGAGAAGGUGGUGACUCGGUACUCGGACAGCGCUUCGUUUACUUUAAAAUAAUUUCCUUUGACGAAACCUAGUAUUAUCACCACUAGAUUUUAGUCUAAUAUUACCGUGACUAAUUAUUAGUCUUAUUAUUAUUAUUAUUAUUAUUAUUAUUAUUAUUAUUAUUAUUAUUAUUAUUAUUAUAUAAGCGUUUAAACAAUACUUUCCAACUACUAUGUACAGACAGGGGCCAGACAUAAAACACCGGAGGGCAGGACCAUUUUGGCGUAUAGCACUUCUGAAAUCCAACAACCCUAUGCGGCCCUUUAAACCAGAUUCCCCGUACCGCGAGUAGUUAAAAGAUAUUAUAACGACACUUAUAUAAGUCAUAAUAAUAGCUCAAAUAUUUAUUAUAAAUUUAUAAUAACAAUACUAAUUUUAAAUAUAAACUAUAUUUAAAAUAGGGUAAACAUAACUUACUUACAAGGGGAUUUUAGCUAGGAGUCGGGCUCUGCAGGGGCAGAACUUCGUCGCUGAAUCUUUCUAAGAAAGAUUCGUGCAGCGCUUCAGCGCUCACCUUACUAUACUAAAACUACAGAAAGAGAAGUCGAAUCACGAGGGACCGAAAUGCUCGGGGGAUAAGGAGAGAAAGACUCUUGAAUCAAGAGAAUGGUGCAAGAAAUAUGAGAGCCCAAGGCUCUUAUUUAUACUAAUUGAAUUUUCAAAAACUACCCUCCAUAAUUACUUAAUGACCUUUUAGUUAUAUAAACAACUAAACACCCCUCUAUAAUACUAUUUUAAAUGGAUUUAAUGAUCUUUGUACUAAACUAAUGUCGAAAGAACUCAACAUUAGUUUUAUAAUAACCGCAUCGUCGAUACCUUUCUAAUGAUAUAUACAUAUGUAUAUAUAUGUGUACGUAUACAUGAUUUAUACUUUAUUUUAAUACGUAAAUAUACUACUAUAAUUUGUAACUCGCUCAUACGAACUCCGUUUUUGACGUUAUUUAUAUCCACGCGUAGGUGGAGACAUACUCUACAACUUUCGUUUAGACUCCGUUGGUUAAUUUUGACUUUAUUUUUAAAGUUAUAUUUUUAACAGGCCAGGACAGGAUUGGUCCGUUAAAAUCUCAUAACUUCUUUAUUCGAUGUCCAUUUUCGUCUGUAUUUUUAUCGUUACGCUACUAAUAACGAGAUCUUCGAUUCUUGUUUAGGUUGUGUCGGCUAAAAAUCAAUCGAUCUAAAAUUCGAAUUUCGGGCUGUACACCGCUAAUCCGAAACUUCGAAAAAUCAUAACUUCUUCAUACGAAGUCAGAUUUGGGCGUUCUUUUUAUCGAUGUUCUUAGUUUAACAUAUUCUACGACUUUUGUUUAGAGCGCUAAGGCUAAAUCUCUAUAUAUCAUAAAUUUACUAUUUACGCUUCCCGGCGCCGUGCCGGUUCCGACGCGAAACUUCGACGGGUCAUAACUUCUUCGUUAUAACUCGGAUUUCAGCGUUCUUUAUAUGUACGGAAACCUUGUGACAUAUUCAACAAAUUGGUUAAGAUUAUUUAUUCUAAAUAAUAUUUUUGUCAAAAAGUCGUUUUCGACCUCUAUUGCCUCUAAAUUAACUAGCCCGGAUCUGCGGGCGUUACAACAAGUAUACCCGACCGUCGAAAUCCAUAACUACAAGUAGAACAAAAUAUAAGUAAAUGGGUGUUGUACGCUGCGGUUAAACCUGGGCAGCUAUGUAGUCGUGUCUAGGAUUAAUAUAGUCUGGCCAACUAUAUUCAUUCGAGACACGGCCAACAUGUGCUUGGGAGUGACUGUGGUAUGCAACAUACCUAAAACUUACCCAGUACCCCAAACAAUGAGCCGUCGUUACAGCGAACCAUGAAAUACUAUGGGAGUAUUUCUCAAGCCGAUCCGUUGUAGAAGUCCUCAUUCAAGCGUUGUUCCUUGAUCAUUCCUUUUGCGAUAAAUUAUUUGCUUUGAUAACUCCCUCCUGUUUUAUCGCUUAAUAGAAUAUCUGUCUUAAUGAGAUAUCCCCUGUUCCGUAUCUCUUGAUUCAAUUCAGAGGACUUCUGAUCCUCUCUUUCCUGGUUAUUCUAGAUCAAGAUGCCUCCAAGGAAACGACCCAGCUUAAAGACCAACAACUCUCCACCGCCACCACCUCCUAUUCAAAUCGAUCUGGAAACACUUAAGGCAGCCAUUACUGCCGCAGUGUCAGCCACCCUGUCUCAAUUAAACCCCAGUGGUUCAAGGGGUGGUACCCAAACCCAAAACCCGGAAGGUAAUCAGGGACACCGGAAGGAGUGUUCCUAUAAAGACUUUAUGAACGCAAAACCCACGUUCUUCGAUGGCACAGGGGGUGUCAAUGCUCUAACUCGGUGGUUGAAGAAAAUCGAAUCUAUCUUCGAGAUUUGUGCCUUUUCGGAAUCCGACAAGGUGAAAUUCGCCGCCUGUACGCUC